rnacentral:rRNA from 1 species
UACGUAGGUGGCGAGCGUUAUCCGGAUUUACUGGGUGUAAAGGGCGUGUAGGCGGCUCUGCAAGUCAGAUGUGAAAUUUCCGGGCUUAACCCGGACGGGUCAUCUGAAACUGCAGGACUUGAGUACUGGAGAGGAUAGCGGAAUUCCUAGUGUAGCGGUAAAAUGCGUAGAUAUUAGGAGGAACACCGGUGGCGAAGGCGGCUAUCUGGACAGUAACUGACGCUGAGGCGCGAAAGCGUGGGGAGCAAACAGGAUUAGAUACCCGGGUAGUCCCU